rnacentral:rRNA from 1 species
CUGGUUGAUCCUGCCGGACCCGACUGCUAUCAGAGUGAGAUUAAGCCAUGCGAGUCAACGUAGCAAUACGUGGCACACGGCUCAGUAACACGUAGUCAACAUAGCCAAAGGACGUGGAUAAACUCGGGAAACUGAGGCUAAACCGCGAUAGACCAAGAUACCUGGAAUGGUUUUUGAUUAAAAUCUAUAUGGCCUUUGGAUUGGACUGCGACCGAUCAGGCUGUUGGUGAGGUAAUGGCCCACCAAACCUGUAACCGGUACGGGCUCUGAGAGGAGGAGCCCGGAGAUGGGUACUGAGACAAGGACCCAGGCCCUAUGGGGCGCAGCAGGCGCGAAACCUCUGCAAUAGGCGAAAGCCUGACAGGGUUAUUCUGAGUGACUUUCGCUAAGAAAGUCUUUUGACACCUCUAAAAAUGGUGUAGAAUAAGGGGUGGGCAAGUCUGGUGUCAGCCGCCGCGGUAAUACCAGCACCCCGAGUGGUCGGGACGAUUAUUGGGCCUAAAGCAUCCGUAGCCGGUUUUACAAGUCCUCCGUUAAAUCCAACUGCUUAACAGAUGGGCCGCGGAGGAUACUAUAAGACUAGGAGGCAGGAGAGGCAAGCGGUACUCAGUGGGUAGGGGUAAAAUCCGUUGAUCCAUUGAAGACCACCAGUGGCGAAGGCGGCUUGCCAGAAUGCGCUCGACGGUGAGGGAUGAAAGCUGGGGGAGCAAACCGGAUUAGAUACCCGGGUAGUCCCAGCUGUAAACUAUGCAAACUCAGUGAUGCAUUGGCUUGUGGCCAAUGCAGUGCUGCAGGGAAGCCGUUAAGUUUGCCGCCUGGGAAGUACGUACGCAAGUAUGAAACUUAAAGGAAUUGGCGGGGGAGCACCACAAGGGGUGAAGCCUGCGGUUCAAUUGGAUUCAACGCCGGG